UCAUCUCUAUCCUUUCCACUCUCUCCAUUUUCUCCCUCUCCCAAAUCUGUACAAGUGCUUGGUGUUCCCGGAGGGGUUCUUUGACCUUCAGAUCCGACCGCUCCUGCACUACCAGACAGAGAGAAGGAUGGCCGGUGCAUCUGGUCAAGAGGUUUGUGGAGUUUGUUUCAACCAUUGCAACUAUGAGAGCAAGGGAAGUGGUUUCAGCAUGUUUGCAUGGGAGGAGUCCAACAAUGCAGGGUUUUUUGUGUGUGUUCAAAUCAGGUUGUGCCUUGCAAUGAAAGGGCCCGUUUCAACAAUGUGACAGGAGAUAGGGUGAUGUUUGUGGCAAACCAACGGACAUACACUGUAAAGUGUUACAAGGGUCGUACAAAGAGCGCUAUGUAUGGGAGAGGUUGGAGGAAGUUCUAUGAUGACAACAAGCUGGGGAAGGGUCAGAUGGUGGUGUUCUUCCUGGAUGAACCUUCGCCUAGGGCAGCUAUUUGUGUGAUCCAGGUGGGCAACGGCUCCGAAGAUGAACAGCCUAUGGAAGAGGGUGAUCCCAUUGAAGAUUCAUAUUCAGAUGAUGAGGAUGGAGAAGCUUCAAGUGAUGGUGGUGAAGGCAUUGUUCGCACUAUGGUGCUUCUGCUUAAUGAGACAUAGGGUUUUCAGCUACA